UUGUCGGGGGAGCCAGCCGGCUGAGAUCGCUUCGCGAAACCCCUAUUACUUGAUCCGGAUAAUACCGGCGUAAGGAGGCAUUCAUA
rnacentral:ncRNA from 1 species